UACGAAGGGUGCAAGCGUUACUCGGAAUUACUGGGCGUAAAGCGUGCGUAGGUGGUUUGUUAAGUCUGAUGUGAAAGCCCUGGGCUCAACCUGGGAAUUGCAUUGGAUACUGGCAAGCUAGAGUGCGGUAGAGGAUGGCGGAAUUCCCGGUGUAGCAGUGAAAUGCGUAGAGAUCGGGAGGAACAUCUGUGGCGAAGGCGGCCAUCUGGACCAGCACUGACACUGAGGCACGAAAGCGUGGGGAGCGAACAGG
rnacentral:rRNA from 1 species